UACGUAGGGUGCGAGCGUUGUCCGGAAUUACUGGGCGUAAAGAGCUCGUAGGUGGUUUGUCGCGUUGUUCGUGAAAACUCACAGCUUAACUGUGGGCGUGCGGGCGAUACGGGCAGACUGGAGUACUGCAGGGGAGACUGGAAUUCCUGGUGUAGCGGUGAAAUGCGUAGAUAUCAAGAGGAACACCUGAGGCGAAGGCGGGUUGCUAGGCUGACACUGACGCUGAGUGCGCGAAAGCCAGGGGAGCAAACAGG
rnacentral:rRNA from 1 species